rnacentral:rRNA from 1 species
AGAGUUUGAUCAUGGCUCAGAUUGAACGCUGGCGGCAGGCCUAACACAUGCAAGUCGAGCGGUAACAGAAAUUAGCUUGCUAAUUUGCUGACGAGCGGCGGACGGGUGAGUAAUGCCUGGGAAUAUGCCUUAGUGUGGGGGAUAACUAUUGGAAACGAUAGCUAAUACCGCAUAAUGUCUUCGGACCAAAGAGGGGGAUCUUCGGACCUCUCGCGCUAAGAUUAGCCCAGGUGAGAUUAGCUAGUUGGUGAGGUAAGAGCUCACCAAGGCGACGAUCUCUAGCUGGUCUGAGAGGAUGAUCAGCCACACUGGAACUGAGACACGGUCCAGACUCCUACGGGAGGCAGCAGUGGGGAAUAUUGCACAAUGGGCGAAAGCCUGAUGCAGCCAUGCCGCGUGUAUGAAGAAGGCCUUCGGGUUGUAAAGUACUUUCAGUAGGGAGGAAGGUGUUGUCGUUAAUAGCGGCAGCAUUUGACGUUACCUACAGAAGAAGCACCGGCUAACUCCGUGCCAGCAGCCGCGGUAAU